rnacentral:rRNA from 1 species
UGGGGAAUCUUGGACAAUGGGGGCAACCCUGAUCCAGCGACGCCGCGUGGGUGAUGAAGGCCUUCGGGUUGUAAAGCCCUUUUGCCGGGGACGAUGAUGACGGUACCCGGCGAAUAAGCACCGGCUAACUCCGUGCCAGCAGCCGCGGUAAUACGGAGGGUGCUAGCGUUGUUCGGAAUUACUGGGCGUAAAGGGCGCGUAGGCGGCCGUGUGCGUCGGAUGUGAAAGCCCGGGGCUCAACCUCGGAACGGCAUCCGAUACGGGGCGGCUGGAGACCGGGAGAGGAGGGUGGAAUAGCCAGUGUAGAGGUGAAAUUCGUAGAUAUUGGCUGGAACACCGGUGGCGAAAGCGGCUCUCUGGCCCGGAUCUGACGCUGAGGCGCGAAAGCGUGGGGAGCAAACA